AUCUCUGCGUUCCUGGAACCGGAAGCGCUCUGCACCCUUGGCCCCGGUGGGAGCCGUGAGUGGGGCAGUGGAAACGGACCCACGCUGGUGGGAAGAUGGCUUUGUACCGCCUCGAUCCAGCCCACUCCUGACCGGGCCACCGCGGUUCCCACGGUUCCACAAGGCUUUCCUGAUGUUCAUUUUAAUUCCACCUCACCAAACAGUACUACUGAGAAGGGAAGAAGGGCCACUCUGCUUGACUGUCCUGGCCUCCGGGCACCCAGACAGCCCUAGGGCCUACUCCAGCCAGGGCUGAAGGCUCACAUUGCAUCACCAAACAGCCCCUUGAAUGGAAUGCACCUGAAGGAGAAGCAUGCACCCAAAGCAGUGGCCAGCAUUCAGCCUCACAGGUUACAAGGCCAGCCUGAGAGUGAGGAGGAGGCCACCCUGAAAACACAGCAGCCUGCUGUCCUCACCACCUCCUUCCCAUGCUCUUUUCCAGCUCUCUAAGAGCUGAGGCCCCCAUUUCUGUUUGUUUACUCUCUGUGCCUGGCAUUUUAUACUCAGAAGAUGUGCAGUGCCUGGAAAUGUGCUCAUUUUGAUUUAGCUGAAUUUCAAUAUAUGGAAAAUUAUCUUUUGCCUGUGAUUUCAUUUAGGUAAUCUGAGCCAGCAUGAAUGGAUCUGAAACUAAUCAAUAAGAUUAAUCAACAUGCUGCCCACAGUAUCUAUAGGAGGUGCUGAAGGAAUGGUCCUAUCUCAAUCAAGAUAACACAUAAACCCAGUCAACCAAACGGCAAUAAGAGAUUGUAAUCAUUCAAGACAAAAAGACAAGAUGAGUCAAGGGAAUGCCUAAUAGCAUAUUUAAUAAAAAUCACAAUGUGACAUUGGUUAAAGAUUAAAUUUAAACUACAGUGGCUAGAGUUACGAAACAAAUAUAAACUGGAGGAAUUUAGAGGACAAUGAAAGAAGAGUCACAGACUGCUUCAAAAAAGGAGGUAGAAUUUGGCCCUUCAAUACUUAGGUGGGUGAUACGGUUUGAGUGUGUUCUGUCCCCUCUGAAACUCAUCUGGAAAUUUAAUCCCCCUAAUGAGAUAUUAAGAAGUGAGAUCAGGUAGGACCCUUAAAGGUGAUUAGGGCUCUGUCCUCCUGAGUGGGGCAAUCUAUGUAUACAGUUAGUGGGGUA